UUUUCCAAUUAGUUCAGUUGGUUAGAACUCCACGCGCGGAUCAGCGUGGAACCGCGGGUUCGACCUCCGCACUGAGUAUUAAAA
rnacentral:tRNA from 1 species